AUUUAUUUCAAUUUGCUGAAAUGAUGAAGAAGUUCGAAUCUAGUGCAAGGGAAAUGUCAAUGCCAUGCAUGAAUUAUUCCAUGUCACAUCGGCUAUGUCGACCAACGGCUACUGAAAAUAUCAGUUGCAACCUUGGUGGUGGCUUCGUCUCUUCUCUCUAUGGAUCUGCGGCUAUGUCGACCAACGACUACUGAAAAUAUCAGUUGCAACAUUGGUGGUGGCUUAGUCUCUUCUCCAUAUGGACCUGGAUUUCACAGUUGGUCUGAUUCUCAGUUCAAUAAUAUGGGCACCAAUGCACUGGAAUUUGUAUAAUGAGCCUUAACUGUUGCGCCAUGUUG